AACCUCGCCUCUUGGCGAAAAAUAAACUAAAGGCUAAGGUACUGGUAGACCGUGCAUCGGGCCGAAGGUAACGAGGUCAGAAGAAAAAGCAGACAA
rnacentral:sRNA from 12 species